UGAUGUGAGGGCGAGUUGUCUGUCACAUCUGUCACCCCACUGAUUUGACUGAUCUGGCUGGCUAGACAGGUGUUCGCUUCCUCCCUCACCACUCCAUGUGCGUCCCAACCAAAGCUGUGCACUCAGUUGAAGAGGACAACCUUUCCGGAUAGGAGGACCGUCCUUCGGUUAAGGGUAUUUGAGUAGCUUUGCUCCCCCACUAGAACCUCCAAACAAGUCUCAUGGUCCUUUUGCUUUCUUUUUUAAACUUCCAUAUUUUUUUAAUCUUUCUGUAUUGUUUAAUAUUUUGACCAUAUCA
rnacentral:snRNA from 1 species